CGUGUAGGCGGCUUAAUAAGUCGGAUGUGAAAUGGCAGGGCUUAACCUUGUCAGGUCAUCCGAUACUGUUGAGCUAGAGUGCAGGAGAGGGGAGUGGAAUUUCCGGUGUAGCGGUGAAAUGCGUAGAUAUCGGAAGGAACACCAGUGGCGAAGGCGACUCUCUGGCCUGCAACUGACGCUGAGACGCGAAAGCGUGGGUAGCGAACA
rnacentral:rRNA from 1 species